UGGCGGACGGGUGAGUAACGCGUGGGUAACCUGCCUUGCACUGGGGGAUAACACUUAGGAAAUAGGUGCUAAUACCGCAUAAGCGCACGGUCCUGCAUGGGACAGUGUGAAAAACUCCGGUGGUGCAAGAUGGACCCGCGUCUGAUUAGCUGGUUGGCGGGGUAAAGGCCCACCAAGGCGACGAUCAGUAGCCGGCCUGAGAGGGUGGACGGCCACAUUGGGACUGAGACACGGCCCAAACUCCUACGGAAGGCAGCAG
rnacentral:rRNA from 1 species